rnacentral:rRNA from 14 species
CACCAGGUUGAUUCUGCCUGACGUGGACACUUGCCUUGAAGAGUAAGCCAUGCAAGCUUGUGAAUAAAUCCUGAAACAGUGAACGGCUCAGUAGAACACAUUUCAUCUACCCAAGUUAAAAAUAACCAUGGGAAACUAUGGCUAAAUAUAAUUUGGAUGAGAGUGUGACCUAUCAGCUAGUAGGUACGGUAAGAGCGUACCUAGGCUAUGACGGGUAACGGGGAAUCAGAGUUCGAUUCCGGAGAGGGAGCCUGAGAGAUGGCUACUACGUCCAAGGAUGGCAGCAGGCGCGAAACUUACCCAAUGAACAUUGAGGUAGUUACGAGGCGUACCUAUGUAAUAUAAUUAUAUAGGGAUGAGGUAUGAUUUCAAAUCAUGCACGACAUACUGGAGGGCAAGGCUGGUGCCAGCAGCUGCGGUAAUUCCAGCUCCAGUAGUGUCUAUGUAAAUUGUUGCGGUUAAAACGUGCGUAGUCUGAUUUGCGAGAUCUAAAGUAAAGAUGCUUUUAUCUAAAAGUAGAAUAUUUUAGAGAUCAAAAAUCUUGAGACAGAGGAGAGGUAACGAAAUUCGAUGGCGAGAGGUGAAAAUUGAUGACCCAUCGAGGAGAAACAGAGGCGAAAGCGGUUACCAGAAGCUGUUCUGACGAUCAAGCACGUGAGCAGGAGUAUCGAAGGCGAUUAGACACCGUCGUAGUUCCUUGCAGUAAACGAUGCCCACACUGAUGUGCUUAACGCAUGUCAGACGCAAAAGUUAAAGUGAGGCUCCGGGGAUAGUACGGUCGCAAGAUUGAAACUUGAAGAAAUUGACGGAAGGACACCACCAGGAGUGGAGUGUGCGGGUUAAUUUGACUCAACGCGGGAAAACUUACCAGUACAGAUUACUAUCGUAUGAAGGAAUACCUGAUGAUGUAAUACGUGGUGCAUGGCCGUUCUUAACACGUGAAGUGAUUCCUCGUGUCAAAUCAGCUAACGCGUGAGAGGCGAGUCUUAUUUUAUAAAUAAGAGACGGCAUAGGCAACUAUGAGGAAGCAACGCCCAAUAACAGGUCCGUGAUGCCCGUAGAUGUUCUGGGCUCCACGCGCACUACAAUUAUAAAUACUAUUUUGUAAUUUAUAAUCAGUAGGGAUUGUUUGUUGUAAAACUUACAUGAACGUGGAAUUCCUAGUAUAUAGAUGUAAGCAACGUCUAUUGAAUAUUGUCCCUGUUCUUUGUACACACCGCCCGUCGUUAUCUAAGAUGGUUAUUAGGGGGAAGCUGAUAUAUUAUAUCAGAAGACUUCUGGUAACUAGAUUGGAUGUAAGUCGUAACAUGGUUGCAGUAGGUGAACCUGCCGCAGAUCAGUA